rnacentral:rRNA from 1 species
UAGGGAAUCUUCCACAAUGGGCGCAUGCCUGAUGGAGCAACACCGCGUGAGUGAAGAAGGGUUUCGGCUCGUAAAGCUCUGUUGUUAAAGAAGAACACGUAUGAGAGUAACUGUUCAUACGUUGACGGUAUUUAACCAGAAAGUCACGGCUAAAUACGUGCCAG